UAGGGAAUCUUCCGCAAUGGGCGAAAGCCUGACGGAGCAACGCCGCGUGACUGAUGAAGGUCUUCGGAUCGUAAAACUCUGUUAUUAGGGAAGAACAAAUGUGUAAGUAACUAUGCACGUCUUGACGUUACCUAAUCAGAAAGCCACGGCUAACUACGUGCCAGCAGCCGCGGUAAUACGUAGGUGGCAAGCGUUAUCCGGAAUUAUUGGGCGUAAAGCGCGCGUAGGCGGUUUUUUAAGUCUGAUGUGAAAGCCCACGGCUUAACCGUGGAGGGUCAUUGGAAACUGGAAAACUUGAGUGCAGAAGAGGAAAGUGGAAUUCCAUGUGUAGCGGUGAAAUGCGCAGAGAGAUGGAGGAACACCAGUGGCGAAGGCGACUUUCUGGUCUGUAACUGACGCUGAUGUGCGAAAGCGUGGGGAUCAAACAGG
rnacentral:rRNA from 1 species